GAUUAGAUACCCCGGUAGUCCUAGCCCUAAACGAUGUUCAUUAGGUGUUAGAGGUAUCGACCCCUCUAGUGCCGAAGCUAACGCGUUAAAUGAACCGCCUGGGGAUUACGGUCGCAAGACUAAAACUCAAAAGAAUUGACGGGGGCCCGCACAAGCGGUGGAGCAUGUGGUUUAAUUCGAUGCUACGCGAAGGACCUUACCUGGGCUUGACAUGCUAGUAGUAGUGAACCGAAAGGGGAUCGAUUCCGAGCAAUCGGAAAGCUAGCACAGGUGCUGCAUGGCUGUCGUCAGUUCGUGUCGUGAGAUGUUUGGUUAAGUCCAACAACGAACGCAACCCCCAUCGCCAGUUGAUAACGUUAAGUCGAUCACUCUGGCGAAACUGCCCCGGAUGACGGGGAGGAAGGUGGGGAUGAGGUCAAGUCAUCAUGGCCUUUAUGCCCAGGGCCACACACGUGCUACAAUGCAAUAUACAAAGGGACGCUAACCCGCGAGGGCUCGCAAAUCUCAAAAAGUAUUGCUCAGUUCGGAUUGAAGGCUGCAAUUCGCCUUCAUGAAGCUGGAAUCGCUAGUAACCGCAGAUCAGCACGCUGCGGUGAAUACGUUCUCGGGCCUUGUACACACCGCCCGUCACACCAUGGAAGCCAAAAACGCCUGAAGUACCCGUUUUUCGGGUCCUAAGGUGGUGUUGGUGACUGGGGUGAAGUCGUAACAAGGUAGCCGUACCGGAAGGUGUGGCUGGAUCACCUCCUUU
rnacentral:ncRNA from 1 species